UUAAAGUUUUAUUUUAGCUUAAAAUAUUAAUCUAUAAUUUUUUUAUAUAUAAAAUUUUUUAUUUAUAAAUUUUUAUUUUAAUAAUAAAAAUUUUUAAAAUUAUUUAUAAUUUAUAAAAUUUAUUUUUUUUUAAGGAAUUAAGAAUAAGAAAUUUAUUUUAGUAUUAACAAAAUUUGUGCCAGCAGUUGCGGUUAUACAAAUAAUAUGAUUAAUAUUUAUUAGUAGAUAAUUAAUUUUUAUUAGUAUUUAAAAAUAAUUAAAUUUAUUAAGUGAAAUUUUAAAUUUGAUUUUGAUAAAAAAUAAAAUUAUGAAGUUAUUAAAAUUUUGUAAUAAACUAGGAUUAGAUACCCUAUUAUAAAAGUUGUAAAAUUUAAAUAUUAGAUUAGUAUUAGUUAUUUUCUUGAAAAUUAAAAAAUUUGGCGGUAUUUUAGUCUUUUCAGAGGAACCUGUCCUAUAAUUGAUAAUCCACGAUUAAAUGUACUUAUUUUAUAGUUUAUAUAUCAUCGUAGUUUGAAUAUUUUUUUAGAAUAUAAAUAUUCAAAAUUUAUAAUAAUAAAAAAAAUCAGAUCAAGGUAUAGCUUAUAUUUAAGAAGAGAUGGGUUACAAUAAAUUUAUUUAAUGAAUUAAAAAUUGUAAAUUUUUAUGAAAUUGGAUUUGAAAGUAAUAUAAUUUAUUUUAAUUAUAUGAUUAAAGCUCUAAAAUAUGCACAUAUCGCCCGUCGCUUUCAUAUAAAAUGAGAUAAGUCGUAACAAAGUAGGUGUACUGGAAAGUGUAUCUAGAAAGC
rnacentral:ncRNA from 1 species